rnacentral:rRNA from 1 species
UAGCUAGUUGGUGAGGUAAAGGCUUACCAAGGCGACGAUCUGUAGCGGGUCUGAGAGGAUGAUCCGCCACACUGGAACAGAGACACGGUCCAGACUCCUACGGGAGGCAGCAGUGGGGAAUUUUGGACAAUGGGGGCAACCCUGAUCCAGCCAUGCCGCGUGAGUGAAGAAGGCCUUCGGGUUGUAAAGCUCUUUCGGCCGGGAAGAAAUCGCAUGGGCCAAUACCCUGUGUGGAUGACGGUACCGGAAUAAGAAGCACCGGCUAACUACGUGCCAGCAGCCGCGGUAAUACGUAGGGUGCGAGCGUUAAUCGGAAUUACUGGGCGUAAAGCGUGCGCAGGCGGUUUUGUAAGACAGGCGUGAAAUCCCCGGGCUUAACCUGGGAACUGCGUUUGUGACUGCAAGGCUAGAGUACGGCAGAGGGGGGUGGAAUUCCACGUGUAGCAGUGAAAUGCGUAGAGAUGUGGAGGAACACCAAUGGCGAAGGCAGCCCCCUGGGUCGAUACUGACGCUCAUGCACGAAAGCGUGGGUAGCAAACAGGAUUAGAUACCCUGGUAGUCCACGCCCUAAACUAUGUCAACUAGGUGUUGGGUGGGUAAAACCAUUUAGUACCGUAGCUAACGCGUGAAGUUGACCGCCUGGGGAGUACGGCCGCAAGGUUAAAACUCAAAGGAAUUGACGGGGACCCGCACAAGCGGUGGAUGAUGUGGAUUAAUUCGAUGCAACGCGAAAAACCUUACCUACCCUUGACAUGCCAGGAACUUGCCAGAGAUGGCUUGGUGCCCGAAAGGGAGCCUGGACACAGGUGCUGCAUGGCUGUCGUCAGCUCGUGUCGUGAGAUGUUGGGUUAAGUCCCGCAACGAGCGCAACCCUUGUCGUUAAUUGCCAUCAUUUAGUUGGGCACUUUAACGAGACUGCCGGUGACAAACCGGAGGAAGGUGGGGAUGACGUCAAGUCCUCAUGGCCCUUAUGGGUAGGGCUUCACACGUCAUACAAUGGUCGGUACAAAGGGUUGCCAAGCCGCGAGGCGGAGCCAAUCCCAGAAAGCCGAUCGUAGUCCGGAUUGCAGGCUGCAACUCGCCUGCAUGAAGUCGGAAUCGCUAGUAAUCGUGGAUCAGCAUGUCACGGUGAAUACGUUCCCGGGUCUUGUACACACCGCCCGUCACACCAUGGGAGCGGGUUCCGCCAGAAGUAGGUAGCCUAACCGCAAGGGGGGCGCUUACCACGGCGGGGUUCGUGACUGGGGUGAAGUCGGAACAAGGUAGCCGUAGGGGAACCUGCGGCUG